GACGAACGCUGGCGGCGUGCUUAACACAUGCAAGUCGAACGGAAAGGCCCUGCUUUUGUGGGGUGCUCGAGUGGCGAACGGGUGAGUAACACGUGAGUAACCUGCCCUUGACUUUGGGAUAACUUCAGGAAACUGGGGCUAAUACCGGAUAGGAGCUCCUGCUGCAUGGUGGGGGUUGGAAAGUUUCGGCGGUUGGGGAUGGACUCGCGGCUUAUCAGCUUGUUGGUGGGGUAGUGGCUUACCAAGGCUUUGACGGGUAGCCGGCCUGAGAGGGUGACCGGCCACAUUGGGACUGAGAUACGGCCCAGACUCCUACGGGAGGCAGCAGUGGGGAAUAUUGCACAAUGGGCGGAAGCCUGAUGCAGAAACGCCGCGUGCGGGAUGACGGUCUUCGGGUUGUAAACCGCUUUCGCCUGUGACGAAGCGUGAGUGACGGUAAUGGGUAAAGAAGCACCGGCUAACUACGUG
rnacentral:rRNA from 1 species